rnacentral:tRNA from 1 species
GCCGGAUUAGCUCAACAGGAAGAGCGCCUGUCUUGUAACCAGGUGAAGCGGGUUCGAGUCCUGCAUUCGGCUCCA